AUGAGAUAUAAAGUUGGUCAAUUGAGGUUUUUGUGUAAAGUGAGAAACCUUAUGAUGAUGUAAGUACUCGGAGAUCCCAGUCAGCAAAGUCACAGACAAUCGCAAGAAUAAAGAGCGCUAAAUAUAAACUAAAAGAAAGAAGCUGAAAGUUAGGAGCUGGAAGCACCUAACCAGAAGCUGAUACACCAACAGCUGGUGAGAGGAAAUUAAGGUUACUGUACAACCUUGGAACUUGAACUAAACAGGUCAAACUGAUUAGACAUCUCUCUACAACACAUAAAUGUGUUUUCGAGACACACAAACCUGAAACAUACCCAAAGAGGCAAGGCUAACCCUGCAAGCAACAUCAGGGAAGGAUAAGCUUACCAAGACUAGAAGGUGCAAAGCUGGCAUGAGGCUCCCUUGGGCAGAGUAAUCUGCCUAUAAAUGGAGGGUCUUGUUCCAUCCCAAAGUAAGUCAAUCUCUCUCAUUCUCAUUCUCACUCUAAAACUCUUAUCCUUUCAUUUCGCUUAGACUCUUAAGAUCAUCCUACUGAUUCUCAUGCCGAAGUCCAAACGCGGGAGGCCACCUCUCGCGUUAAGACUAACGGUGUUCUUUGAUUGCAGAUUCCGACAAACGAGCUACCUUUUGGAGUUAAUAGUGGACCUUCCCCCUGCCAUACUCUUGUUGCUUUAACAAGUGACGCCCACCGUGUGGCUGCACUACUUAGAACAGUUUUUCCGGUGGUAUAGCCUUGUUCCUAAGUUACAUUCUCUUAUGGCUGGAAAGGAUCAUCAUCCAAAGGAAGUUUCAAGCAGUUCCUUGUCUUGGUCUAGUCCUCCGGCUACUCCCGGAGUAGGGCGAACCAUCGAAUAAUUUAAUCUGAAAGUGAUUACACGCCUCUUAGAUCAUCCAAUGCAAUCUCGAGAAUUUUACGGAGAUCUGACGGCGCGCGUCACAGCAAAUGCAGAAGAAUUCCGAUCUCCGAUGCUUGGCUCUUUCUUAGUUGGUUGUUCCUUCAGACUCGUGUAAUAUUUCAUUAUUCUUGCUUACUAAAAGUGAGUUUGAUUUCUAUAUAACGAUUAAUCAAGGGUACGUGCCAGUGGCGGAGCUAGAAAUUUUUUAUAAUGGUGUCAUUUUUUAUAGAUACCUUGUUUAUAGUAACCCGGAGUCUAACUUAUUGGAUCGGUUCGGAUCUAGUCG
rnacentral:lncRNA from 1 species